AGAGUUUGAUCAUGGCUCAGAUUGAACGCUGGCGGAAUGCUUUACACAUGCAAGUCGAACGGCAGCACGGGGGCAACCCUGGUGGCGAGUGGCGAACGGGUGAGUAAUACAUCGGAACGUGCCCAGUCGUGGGGGAUAACGUAGCGAAAGCUACGCUAAUACCGCAUACGAACUGAGGUUGAAAGCGGGGGAUCGCAAGACCUCGCGCGAUUGGAGCGGCCGAUGGCAGAUUAGGUAGUUGGUGGGGUAAAGGCCUACCAAGCCGACGAUCUGUAGCUGGUCUGAGAGGACGACCAGCCACACUGGGACUGAGACACGGCCCAGACUCCUACGGGAGGCAGCAGUGGGGAAUUUUGGACAAUGGGCGCAAGCCUGAUCCAGCCAUUCCGCGUGCAGGAUGAAGGCCCUCGGGUUGUAAACUGCUUUUGUACGGAACGAAAAGGCUCUCUCUAAUACAGGGGGCUGAUGACGGUACCGUAAGAAUAAGCACCGGCUAACUACGUGCCAGCAGCCGCGGUAAUACGUAGGGUGCGAGCGUUAAUCGGAAUUACUGGGCGUAAAGCGUGCGCAGGCGGUUGUGUAAGACAGAUGUGAAAUCCCCGGGCUUAACCUGGGAACUGCAUUUGUGACUGCACAGCUGGAGUGCGGCAGAGGGGGAUGGAAUUCCGCGUAGCAGUGAAAUGCGUAGAUAUGCGGAGGAACACCGAUGGCGAAGGCAAUCCCCUGGGCCUGCACUGACGCUCAUGCACGAAAGCGUGGGGAGCAAAAGGAUUAGAUACCCNNGUAGUCC
rnacentral:rRNA from 1 species